GAUGAACGCUGGCGGCGGGCCUAAUACAUGCAAGUCGAGCGAACAGACGGAGAUUGUGCUCCGCUUACGUGGGGGACGGGCGGGUAAUUAACACGUAUAUAACCGAUCUAUAAGGCUUACAUAACGUCGGGAAACCUUAUCUCAUACCGGAUAAUAUAGUGAACGGCAGGGUUCUAUAGUGAAAGAGGGUUUUGCUGUGCCUUAGAGGGGUAUCCUGGGCGCAGUAGCUAGUUGGUAACGUAACGGCCUACCAAGGCAACGAUGCGUGGCCGAACUGAGAGGGGGAUCAGCCACACUGGAACGUAGACACGGGCCAGAAGACUAAGGGAGGCAGCAGUAGGGAAUAUUCCGCAAUGGGGGAAAGCCUGACCGAGCAACGGCGCGUGUGUGAAGAAGGUCUUCGGAUCGGAAAGCACUUUUUCUUGGGAAGAACAACUGUGGAAUGAAACAUGGCUGUUUUGACGGUAACAACUAAAGAAGCACCGGCUAACUACGUG
rnacentral:rRNA from 1 species